CCCGCUGAACUUAAGCAUAUCAAUAAGCGGAGGAAAAGAAACUAACAAGGAUUCCCCUAGUAACUGCGAGUGAAGCGGGAAAAGCUCAAAUUUAAAAUCUGGCGGUCUCGCGGCCGUCCGAGUUGUAAUCUGGAGAAGCGUUUAUCCGCGUCGGACCGUGUACAAGUCUUCUGGAAGGGAGCGUCAUAGAGGGUGAGAAUCCCGUCUUUGACACGGACAACCGAUGCUUUUGUGAUGCGCUCUCGAAGAGUCGAGUUGUUUGGGAAUGCAGCUCAAAAUGGGUGGUAAAUUCCAUCUAAAGCUAAAUACAGGCGAGAGACCGAUAGCGAACAAGUACCGUGAGGGAAAGAUGAAAAGAACUUUGGAAAGAGAGUUAAACAGUACGUGAAAUUGCUGAAAGGGAAACGCUUGAUGUCAGUCGCGUCGUCCGGGGAUCAGCCUUGCUCUUUUGCUCGGUGUAUUUCCUGGUCGACGGGUCAGCAUCGGUUUCGACCGUCGGAAAAUGGCUCGAGGAAUGUGGCACUCUUCGGAGUGUGUUAUAGACUCGGGUCGAAUACGGCGAUUGGGACCGAGGAACUCAGCACGACCUUAGGGUUCGGGGCUUCGGCCCACGUCAAUGUGCUUAGGAUGCUGGCAUAAUGGCCUUAAGCGACCCGUCUUGAAACACGG
rnacentral:rRNA from 1 species